GACGAACGCUGGCGGCGUGCUUAACACAUGCAAGUCGAACGGAAAGGCCCUGCUUUUGUGGGGUGCUCGAGUGGCGAACGGGUGAGUAACACGUGAGUAACCUGCCCUUGACUUUGGGAUAACUUCAGGAAACUGGGGCUCAUACAGGAUAUGAGCUCCUGCUGCAUGGGGGGGGAUGGAAAGAUUCGGCGGUUGGGGAUGGAUUCGCGGCUUAUCAGCUUGUUGGUGGGGUAGUGGCUUACCCAGGCUUUGACGGGUAGCCGGCCUGAGAGGGUGACCGGCCACAUUGGGACCGAGAGGCGGCCGAGGCAGCUACGGGAGGGAGCAGGGGGGAAGAUUGCACGAUGGGCGGAGGCCGGAUGCAGCAACGCCGCGUGCGGGAUGACGGUCUUCGUGUGGAAAACCGCUUGCGCCUGUGACGAAGCGUGAGUGAAGGUAAUGGGUAAAGAAGCACCGGCUAACUAAGUG
rnacentral:rRNA from 1 species